AGCAGCCGCGGUAAUUCCAGCUCCAAUAGCGUAUAUUAAAGUUGUUGCAGUUAAAAAGCUCGUAGUUGAAUUUCGGGGUCAGUAGGUCGGUCGUGCCACAGGUAUGCACUGGUCUCACUGAUUCCUCCUUCCUGAUGAACCGUAAUGCCAUUAAUUUGGUGUUGCGGGGAGACUGGACUGUUACUUUGAAGAAAUUAGAGUGUUUAAAGCAGGCAUACGCUUGAAUACAUUAGCAUGGAAUAAUGAAAUAGGACGUUCGAUUCUAUUUUGUUGGUUUCUAGGAUCGACGUAAUGAUUAAUAGGGAUAGUUGGGGGCAUUAGUAUUCAAUUGUCAGAGGUGAAAUUCUUGGAUUUAUUGAAGACUAACUACUGCGAAAGCAUUUGCCAAGGAUGUUUUCAUUAAUCAAGAACGAAAGUUAGGGGAUCGAAGACGAUCAGAUACCGUCGUAGUCUUAACCAUAAACUAUGCCGACUAGGGAUCGGAUGAUGUUAAUUUUUAAUGACUCAUUC
rnacentral:sRNA from 1 species